GACGAAAUCACGUGCAGCGGGGUGACAGGACAGUGAAGGAAAAGAGGAGCCUGAUGCGAUCACAACGCCAACCGUCUCUUUCUCUCGCUCGCUCGUUCGCUCUGUGGACGGUCAACAUAUUCCAUCUACCGAAAUCAUAUGCUGCUGCCGUGAACACCACCAGAUGCCAAGAAACACCUGUACCCUUGUCCAGCACAGAGUGCCUAGGAAUGGUUAGGGUUUUGUAUCGUUUCCAAGCCCACAUGGUGGAAUGAUUGGCCUGUGAUUCCAGCACACGAUGGCUUUUUCGUGUACGGGGAUUGCACAGCCCUUAGGGAUGCUUCUGAAACUAGCAGUCACAAACCCUAGCGAGGCAUGUGUUUGGUAGCAGAAUUUGGGCAGAUACAGAUCGCCCUCAUCAGAAAUGAGAUCGGUUUGUUGUCCAGAGUGUAGUUCGAUGCGGUUGGUCCACAGCCGGAUCUUCAUGCCAUCCAUCUUCGUCCUCAAUCCAACACAACAAAAUUGAUUCGAUUUAUUACCCCUC